CCAUCCUACAAAAGCAUGUCUGUGGUUUCCCGUCCUUGGACACAGAAAAAUUGGAGGCAAAGAGAUGUGGACUUGGAGAAGUCUGUAGUCAGCUUGCUCCCUAUAGGCUCAAGGUCACCCUUUCCCACACAG
rnacentral:snoRNA from 1 species